rnacentral:misc_RNA from 1 species
UACGGAGGGUGCGAGCGUUAAACGGAAUUAAUGGGCGUAAAGCGCGCGUAGGCGGCUUGAUAAGCAGGUUGUGAAAGCGCGGGGCUCAACCUGGGAACGGCAUCCGGAACUGUCAGGCUAGAGUGCAGGAGAGGAAGGUAGAAUUCCCGGUGUAGCGGUGAAAUGCGUAGAGAUCGGGAGGAAUACCAGUGGCGAAGGCGGCCUUCUGGACUGACACUGACGCUGAGGUGCGAAAGCGUGGGUAGCAAACAGG